rnacentral:rRNA from 1 species
AGAGUUUGAUCCUGGCUCAGGAUGAACGCUAGCUACAGGCUUAACACAUGCAAGUCGUGGGGCAGCGGAUACUUAGCUUGCUAAGUAUGCCGGCGACCGGCGCACGGGUGAGUAACGCGUACCGAACCUGCCCAUCACACAGGGAUAGGCUUGCGAAAGCAAGAUUAAUACCUGAUGGUCUCAGUUUUAUGCAUGUAAGAUUGAGUAAAGCCUUCGGGCGGUGAUGGAUGGCGGUGCGUCCCAUUAGGAAGUUGGCGGGGUAACGGCCCACCAAUCCUUCGAUGGGUAGGGGUUCUGAGAGGAAGGUCCCCCACAUUGGAACUGAGAUACGGUCCAAACUCCUACGGGAGGCAGCAGUGAGGAAUAUUGGUCAAUGGGCGAGAGCCUGAACCAGCCAAGUAGCGUGCAGGAUGACGGCCCUAUGGGUUGUAAACUGCUUUUGUAUGGGGAUAAAGUUAGGGACGUGUCCCUAUUUGCAGGUACCAUACGAAUAAGGACCGGCUAAUUCCGUGCCAGCAGCCGCGGUAAUACGGAAGGUCCGGGCGUUAUCCGGAAUUAUUGGGUUUAAAGGGAGCGCAGGCGGGAGUGUAAGUCAGCUGUUAAAUAUCAGGGCCCAACUCUGUUAUGCAGUUGAAACUAUAUUUCUUGAGUACGCACAGGGAUGGCGGAAUUCAGGGUGUAGCGGUGAAAUGCUUAGAUAUCCUGAAGAACUCCGAUCGCGAAGGCAGCCAUCCGGAGCGUAACUGACGCUGAGGCUCGAAGGUGCGGGUAUCAAACAGGAUUAGAUACCCUGGUAGUCCGCACGGUAAACGAUGAAUACUCGCAGUUCGGUUAUUAUGGUCGAGCUGUCCAGCGAAAGCGUUAAGUAUUCCACCUGGGGAGUACGCCGGCAACGGUGAAACUCAAAGGAAUUGACGGGGGCCCGCACAAGCGGAGGAACAUGUGGUUUAAUUCGAUGAUACGCGAGGAACCUUACCCGGGCUUGAAUUGCAGAGGAAGGAUUUAGAGAUAAUGACGCCCUUCGGGGUCUCUGUGAAGGUGCUGCAUGGUUGUCGUCAGCUCGUGCCGUGAGGUGUCGGCUUAAGUGCCAUAACGAGCGCAACCCCUCUCUUCAGUUGCCAUCAGGUUAAGCUGGGCACUCUGGAGACACUGCCACCGUAAGGUGUGAGGAAGGUGGGGAUGACG